UGCCGUAACUUCGGGAGAAGGCACGCUGGCGCGUAGGUGAAGGGACUUGCUCCCGGAGCUGAAGCCAGUCGAAGAUACCAGCUGGCUGCAACUGUUUAAUAAAAACACAGCACUGUGCAAACACGAAAGUGGACGUAUACGGUGUGACGCCUGCCCGGUGCCGGAAGGUUAAUUGAUGGGGUUAUCCGCAAGGAGAAGCUCUUGAUCGAAGCCCCGGUAAACGGCGGCCGUAACAAUAACGGUCCUAAGGUAGCGAAAUUCCUUGUCGGGUAAGUUCCGACCUGCACGAAUGGCGUAAUGAUGGCCAGGCUGUCUCCACCCGAGACUCAGUGAAAUUGAACUCGCUGUGAAGAUGCAGUGUACCCGCGGCAAGACGGAAAGACCCCGUGAACCUUUACUACAGCUUGACACUGAACAUUGAGCCUUGAUGUGUAGGAUAGGUGGGAGGCUUUGAAGCGUGGACGCCAGUCUGCGUGGAGCCAUCCUUGAAAUACCACCCUUUAAUGUUUGAUGUUCUAACUCGGCCCCGUGAUCCGGGGUGAGGACAGUGUCUGGUGGGUAGUUUGACUGGGGCGGUCUCCUCCCAAAGAGUAACGGAGGAGCACGAAGGUUAGCUAAUCACGGUCGGACAUCGUGAGGUUAGUGCAAUGGCAUAAGCUGGCUUGACUGCGAGAGUGACGGCUCGAGCAGGUGCGAAAGCAGGUCAUAGUGAUCCGGUGGUUCUGAAUGGAAGGGCCAUCGCUCAACGGAUAAAAGGUACUCCGGGGAUAACAGGCUGAUACCGCCCAAGAGUUCAUAUCGACGGCGGUGUUUGGCACCUCGAUGUCGGCUCAUCACAUCCUNGGUCCCAAGGGUAUGGCUGUUCGCCAUUUAAAGUGGUACGCGAGCUGGGUUUAGAACGUCGUGAGACAGUUCGGUCCCUAUCUGCCGUGGGCGUUGGAAGAUUGAGAGGGGUUGCUCCUAGUACGAGAGGACCGGAGUGAACGCACCACUGGUGUUCGGGUUGUCAUGCCAAUGGCAUUGCCCGGUAGCUAAAUGCGGAAAAGAUAAGCGCUGAAAGCAUCUAAGCGCGAAACUUGCCUCGAGAUGAAUUCUCCCUGACUCCUUGAGGGUCCUGAAGGGACGUUGAAGACUACGACGUUGAUAGGCCGGGUGUGUAAGCGCAGCG
rnacentral:rRNA from 1 species